rnacentral:rRNA from 1 species
CAGUCGCCGCGGUAAUACGAAAGGUCCAAGCGUUACUCGGAAUUACUGGGCGUAAAGCGCGCGUAGGCGGUUUUGUAUGUCGAUUGUGAAAGCCCCGGGCUCAACCUGGGAACUGCAGUCGAAACUGCAAGACUUGAAUGUUGGAGAGGUUGGGGGAAUACCUAGUGGAGAAGUGAAAUUCGUAGAGAUUAGGUGGAACACCAGAGGCGAAGGCGCCUGACUGGCCAAACAUUGACGCUAAGGCGCGAAAGCGUGGGUAGCAAACAGGAUUAGAGACCCCAGUAGUCCCUGUCUCUUAUAC